UCAAGCUACUACGGGCACACGGCGGAUGCCUUGGCGCCAAGGGCUGAUGAAGGACGCUGCCGGCGGCGAAAGGGUCGGGGAGGUGCCAAGCAACCUUCGAUCCGGCCGUCUCCGAAUGGGGCAACCCGGCGCGGGUCAUGCCGCGUCAUCCCGUGCUGAAUCCAUAGGCGCGGGAGAGCCAGUCGGGGAACUGAAACAUCUCAGUACCCGGAGGAACAGAAAUCAACCGAGAUUCCCUGAGUAGUGGCGAGCGAAAGGGGAGGAGCCCAAACCUCGGGCGUGCCAAGCUCGCGGGCGUUGCGCUCGAGGGGUUGCAGGACAUCGUCGGACGGGACCGCGAUCCCGUCGGGAAGUUACCAAUCCGCACGCUAGCCGAACGGUCCUGGAACGGCCGGCCACAGGGGGUGACAGCCCCGUAGGCGAAAGCGUGUGGACUUCCUGGGCGGUGUUCCUGAGUACCACGGGACACGUGGAACCCCGUGGGAAACCGGGAGGACCACCUUCCAAGGCUAAAUACCCUUGGCGACCGAUAGUGCACGAGUACCGUGAGGGAAAGGUGAAAAGAACCCCGGGAGGGGAGUGAAAUAGAACCUGAAACCGUGUGCCUACAAACAGUCGGAGGGCUAUGCCGGUCUUCGGACCGGAACGCCUGACGGCAUGCCUAUUGAAGAAUGAGCCGGUGAGUUGCAACGUGUGGCGAGCUUAAGGGAGCGUAUCCCGGAGGCGGAGGGAAACCGAGUCUGAACAGGGCGCCGUUCCCGGAUGGGAAGCCGCGUCAGCGGCAGUCGCACGUUGCAGACCCGAAACCGGGUGAGCUACCCAUGGCCAGGGUGAAGCGCGGCUAACCCCGCGUGGAGGCCCGAACCCGUUGGUGUUGAAAAACCAUGGGAUGAGCUGUGGGUAGGGGUGAUAUGCCAAUCGAACCCGGAGAUAGCUGGUUCUCCCCGAAAUGCAUUGAGGUGCAGCCUCGGCGGAAGCGUCGCGGAGGUAGAGCACUGGAUGGGCUAGGGCGGAAGAAUCCGCACCGAACCCAACCAAACUCCGAAUGCCGCGACGUGGUCGCCGGGAGUGAGACGGUGAGGGAUAAGCUUCAUCGUCGAGAGGGGAACAGCCCAGACCGUCGGCUAAGGUCCCGAAGUCCCAGCUCAGUGGGGAAGGAGGUGGCACCGCCCAGACAGCCGGGAGGUUGGCUUAGAAGCAGCCAUCCUUUAAAGAGUGCGUAAUAGCUCACCGGUCGAGUGGUGCUGCGCCGAAAACGUAACGGGGCUAAGCUGGGCACCGAAGCCACG
rnacentral:rRNA from 1 species